rnacentral:rRNA from 1 species
CCUACGGGGGACAGCAGUGAGGAAUAUUGGUCAAUGGGCUUAAGCCUGAACCAGCCAAGUCGCGUGAGGGAAGACUGCCCUAUGGGUUGUAAACCGCUUUUGUCAGGGAGCAAAUGGCGCUACGUGUGGCGUUUUGGAGAGUACGUGAAGAAAAAGCAUGGGCAAACUCCGGGCCAGCAGCCGCGGUAAUACGGAGGAUCCGAGCGUUAUCCGGAUUUAUUGGGUUUAAAGGGUGCGUAGGCGGUUUUAUAAGUUAGAGGUGAAAUGUCGGGGCUCAACCACGAAACUGCCUCUAAUACUGUGGGACUAGAGAAUAGUUGCGGUAGGCGGAAUGUAUGGUGUAGCGGUGAAAUGCUUAGAGAUCACACAGAACACCGAUUGCGAAGGCAGCUUACCAAACUAUAUCUGACGUUGAGGCACGAAAGCGUGGGUAGCAAACAGGAUUAGAUACCCUUGUAGUC